rnacentral:rRNA from 1 species
GGGUUGUGAGGUUAAGCGACUAAGCGUACACGGUGGAUGCCCUGGCAGUCAGAGGCGAUGAAGGACGUGCUAAUCUGCGAUAAGCGUCGGUGAGGUGAUAUGAACCGUUAUAACCGGCGAUUUCCGAAUGGGGAAACCCAGUGUGUUUCGACACACUAUCAUUAACUGAAUCCAUAGGUUAAUGAGGCGAACCGGGGGAACUGAAACAUCUAAGUACCCCGAGGAAAAGAAAUCAACCGAGAUUCCCCCAGUAGCGGCGAGCGAACGGGGAGGAGCCCAGAGCCUGAAUCAGUGUGUGUGUUAGUGGAAGCGUCUGGAAAGGCGCGCGAUACAGGGUGACAGCCCCGUACACAAAAAUGCACAUAUUGUGAGCUCGAUGAGUAGGGCGGGACACGUGGUAUCCUGUCUGAAUAUGGGGGGACCAUCCUCCAAGGCUAAAUACUCCUGACUGACCGAUAGUGAACCAGUACCGUGAGGGAAAGGCGAAAAGAACCCCGGCGAGGGGAGUGAAAAAGAACCUGAAACCGUGUACGUACAAGCAGUGGGAGCCUCUUAAUGGGGUGACUGCGUACCUUUUGUAUAAUGGGUCAGCGACUUAUAUUCUGUAGCAAGGUUAACCGAAUAGGGGAGCCGAAGGGAAACCGAGUCUUAACUGGGCGUUAAGUUGCAGGGUAUAGACCCGAAACCCGGUGAUCUAGCCAUGGGCAGGUUGAAGGUUGGGUAACACUAACUGGAGGACCGAACCGACUAAUGUUGAAAAAUUAGCGGAUGACUUGUGGCUGGGGGUGAAAGGCCAAUCAAACCGGGAGAUAGCUGGUUCUCCCCGAAAGCUAUUUAGGUAGCGCCUCGUGAAUUCAUCUCCGGGGGUAGAGCACUGUUU